GUGAACCAGUACCGUGAGGGAAAGGCGAAAAGAACCCCGGCGAGGGGAGUGAAAAAGAACCUGAAACCGUGUACGUACAAGCAGUGGGAGCACCCUUCGGGGUGUGACUGCGUACCUUUUGUAUAAUGGGUCAGCGACUUAUAUUCUGUAGCAAGGUUAACCGUAUAGGGGAGCCGUAGGGAAACCGAGUCUUAACCGGGCGUUAAGUUGCAGGGUAUAGACCCGAAACCCGGUGAUCUAGCCAUGGGCAGGUUGAAGGUUGGGUAACACUAACUGGAGGACCGAACCGACUAAUGUUGAAAAAUUAGCGGAUGACCUGUGGCUGGGGGUGAAAGGCCAAUCAAACCGGGAGAUAGCUGGUUCUCCCCGAAAGCUAUUUAGGUAGCGCCUCGUGAAUUCAUCUCCGGGGGUAGAGCACUGUUUCGGCUAGGGGGCCAUCCCGGCUUACCAACCCGAUGCAAACUGCGAAUACCGGAGAAUGUUAUCACGGGAGACACACGGCGGGUGCUAACGUCCGUCGUGAAGAGGGAAACAACCCAGACCGCCAGCUAAGGUCCCAAAGUCAUGGUUAAGUGGGAAACGAUGUGGGAAGGCCCAGACAGCCAGGAUGUUGGCUUAGAAGCAGCCAUCAUUUAAAGAAAGCGUAAUAGCUCACUGGUCGAGUCGGCCUGCGCGGAAGAUGUAACGGGGCUAAACCAUGCACCGAAGCUGCGGCAGCGAACGUAUCACCCAAGACAACUUUACGGAGUUGACGAUUGACGGAGCGAAGCGACGUCAAAGCGUUCAUUAAAGUCGAGUUGGCUUAGGGAUACGUUCGUUGGGUAGGGGAGCGUUCUGUAAGCCUGUGAAGGUGUGUCGUGAGGCAUGCUGGAGGUAUCAGAAGUGCGAAUGCUGACAUAAGUAACGAUAAAGCGGGUGAAAAGCCCGCUCGCCGGAAGACCAAGGGUUCCUGUCCAACGUUAAUCGGGGCAGGGUGAGUCGACCCCUAAGGCGAGGCCGAAAGGCGUAGUCGAUGGGAAACGGGUUAAUAUUCCCGUACUUGGUGUUACUGCGAAGGGGGGACGGAGAAGGCUAUGUUGGCCGGGCGACGGUUGUCCCGGUUUAAGCGUGUAGGUGUGUGUUCCAGGUAAAUCCGGUUCACUUUAACACUGAGGCGUGACGACGAGGCACUACGGUGCUGAAGCAACAAAUGCCCUGCUUCCAGGAAAAGCCUCUAAGCAUCAGGUAACACGAAAUCGUACCCCAAACCGACACAGGUGGUCAGGUAGAGAAUACCAAGGCGCUUGAGAGAACUCGGGUGAAGGAACUAGGCAAAAUGGUGCCGUAACUUCGGGAGAAGGCACGCUGACACGUAGGUGAAGUGAUUUACUCAUGGAGCUGAAGUCAGUCGAAGAUACCAGCUGGCUGCAACUGUUUAUUAAAAACACAGCACUGUGCAAACACGAAAGUGGACGUAUACGGUGUGACGCCUGCCCGGUGCCGGAAGGUUAAUUGAUGGGGUCAGCGCAAGCGAAGCUCCUGAUCGAAGCCCCGGUAAACGGCGGCCGUAACUAUAACGGUCCUAAGGUAGCGAAAUUCCUUGUCGGGUAAGUUCCGACCUGCACGAAUGGCGUAAUGAUGGCCAGGCUGUCUCCACCCGAGACUCAGUGAAAUUGAACUCGCUGUGAAGAUGCAGUGUACCCGCGGCAAGACGGAAAGACCCCGUGAACCUUUACUAUAGCUUGACACUGAACAUUGAGCCUUGAUGUGUAGGAUAGGUGGGAGGCUUUGAAGUGUGGACGCCAGUCUGCAUGGAGCCGACCUUGAAAUACCACCCUUUAAUGUUUGAUGUUCUAACGUGGACCCGUAAUCCGGGUUGCGGACAGUGUCUGGUGGGUAGUUUGACUGGGGCGGUCUCCUCCUAAAGAGUAACGGAGGAGCACGAAGGUUGGCUAAUCCUGGUCGGACAUCAGGAGGUUAGUGCAAUGGCAUAAGCCAGCUUGACUGCGAGCGUGACGGCGCGAGCAGGUGCGAAAGCAGGUCAUAGUGAUCCGGUGGUUCUGAAUGGAAGGGCCAUCGCUCAACGGAUAAAAGGUACUCCGGGGAUAACAGGCUGAUACCGCCCAAGAGUUCAUAUCGACGGCGGUGUUUGGCACCUCGAUGUCGGCUCAUCACAUCCUGGGGCUGAAGUAGGUCCCAAGGGUAUGGCUGUUCGCCAUUUAAAGUGGUACGCGAGCUGGGUUUAGAACGUCGUGAGACAGUUCGGUCCCUAUCUGCCGUGGGCGCUGGAGAACUGAGGGGGGCUGCUCCUAGUACGAGAGGACCGGAGUGGACGCAUCACUGGUGUUCGGGUUGUCAUGCCAAUGGCACUGCCCGGUAGCUAAAUGCGGAAGAGAUAAGUGCUGAAAGCAUCUAAGCACGAAACUUGCCCCGAGAUGAGUUCUCCCUGAGACUUAGAGUCUCCUGAAGGAACGUUGAAGACGACGACGUUGAUAGGCCGGGUGUGUAAGCGCAGCGAUGCGUUGAGCUAACCGGUACUAAUGAACCGUGAGGCUUAACC
rnacentral:rRNA from 1 species